AUUCCAGCUCCAAUAGCGUAUAUUAAUGUUGUUGCAGUUAAAAAGCUCGUAGUUGAAUUUCUGGUUAAAAUCUUAGCUGGCUUUGGUCGUUAAUGUUUUAAUCAUCCGUUAGAGAACUAUAACCGUCCUUAACUGGUCAUUAUAGAGAUCUAACAUUUUACUUUGAAAAAAUUAGAGUGUUCAAGGCAGGCAAUCGUCAUGAAUACUAUAGCAUGGAAUAAUGGAAUAGGACUUUGGUUCAUUUUAUUGGUUAUUGAACCUUAGUAAUGAUUAACAGGGACAGUUGGGGGCAUUAGUAUUUAAUUGUCAGAGGUGAAAUUCCUGGAUUUAUUAAAGACUAACUUAUGCGAAAGCAUUUGCCAAGGAUGUUUUCAUCA
rnacentral:rRNA from 1 species